AACCGAAGUCGCGAUAGUCUCGUUUAUUUUUUCGAGUGUAAAUGAUUGUGCGGUUACAAAAAGAAAUACAUAUAUUUGUGUCCAUUUCAGAAUCUGGGUGGACCGAAGGAGUUUAUGGUUAUACAAUGAUGUACAUUUUUUAAUUUUUUUUUUUUGUGGACAUUUUUACUUCCAAAAAUCUUGCUCCUAUUUACAGAUGUAGCAUUUUUUCUGAAUGGAAAUCACGGAUAGGGGAAAUAUUAGA